GCCUAUUCUAAGGUAAAUAUUUUGAGUUUGCGCGUAUAGAAUUUAAUGACAUGCAUUUUUUUCAAAAGAUUAUGCAUUAAUCUUUCCAAUGAUGUAUGAUGAUAUAGUGGGUAUGCGCUUGAUCAUGGUAAAAAUUGAUAUCGAACUUCAACUAUUUUAUAUGUAAUAUAGAAGGAAAUUAAUUGCGCAUGCGUAACCUUUAAGCACAUCCGACCAAGUUAGUCGUCUGCCAGAAUUUUGACAUUUGACCAUCAAAAACUCUCUGUAUUGCAAAACAUAACUGCCAGAUGUCAUUUUGACCCAAAUAAGGGCUGUUUGCAAUUGGGCUGUUGCACUUGGGGUCAUAAGGGGGGUAAAUGCUGGAAAAUCACACCGAAACCUGUUCCGGAGACAUAUUCUAAGACUACUUAAACACCCGGCGGUGUCGAAAUGGGUCUAUAGCUCUGCCUGAACUGUCGUCCAAUUGGUUUACAAGUCCGGCUGAAGUGACAGGCCAUCAAAAACUGUACAGUGUGACUGAUUCGGAGACGGCCCUCAACACUCGCCCAGUCGUGUCGAGAGGAUCGGUGUCUUUGCAGAUUACACGGAAUUGAGCACCCGGGCCAGACUGACACUUUCCGGAGCCUGCCCUAGACGGAACUCGAGCCGAGGAAUCAUAGGUCCAGGCGGUGUCGAAAUGGGUCUAUAGCUCUGCCUGAACUGUCGUCCAAUUGGUUUACAAGUCCGGCUGAAGUGACAGGCCAUCAAAAACUGUACAGUGUGACUGAUUCGGAGACGGCCCUCAACACUCGCCCAGUCGUGUCGAGAGGAUCGGUGUCUUUGCAGAUUACACGGAAUUGAGCACCCGGGCCAGACUGACACUUUCCGGAGCCUGCCCUAGACGGAACUCGAGCCGAGGAAUCAUAGGUCCAGGCGGUGUCGAAAUGGGUCUAUAGCUCUGCCUGAACUGUCGUCCAAUUGGUUUACAAGUCCGGCUGAAGUGACAGGCCAUCAAAAACUGUACAGUGUGACUGAUUCGGAGACGGCCCUCAACACUCGCCCAGUCGUGUCGAGAGGAUCGGUGUCUUUGCAGAUUACACGGAAUUGAGCACCCGGGCCAGACUGACACUUUCCGGAGCCUGCCCUAGACGGAACUCGAGCCGAGGAAUCAUAGGUCCAGGCGGUGUCGAAAUGGGUCUAUAGCUCUGCCUGAACUGUCGUCCAAUUGGUUUACAAGUCCGGCUGAAGUGACAGGCCAUCAAAAACUGUACAGUGUGACUGAUUCGGAGACGGCCCUCAACACUCGCCCAGUCGUGUCGAGAGGAUCGGUGUCUUUGCAGAUUACACGGAAUUGAGCACCCGGGCCAGACUGACACUUUCCGGAGCCUGCCCUAGACGGAACUCGAGCCGAGGAAUCAUAGGUCCAGGCGGUGUCGAAAUGGGUCUAUAGCUCUGCCUGAACUGUCGUCCAAUUGGUUUACAAGUCCGGCUGAAGUGACAGGCCAUCAAAAACUGUACAGUGUGACUGAUUCGGAGACGGCCCUCAACACUCGCCCAGUCGUGUCGAGAGGAUCGGUGUCUUUGCAGAUUACACGGAAUUGAGCACCCGGGCCAGACUGACACUUUCCGGAGCCUGCCCUAGACGGAACUCGAGCCGAGGAAUCAUAGGUCCAGGUGUGACAAAAGACUUAAAGCUCAUGUCUGACGAUGACUUUUUUUAGUCAGGAAGCCAAGUGUGUUGUUU